rnacentral:tRNA from 1 species
GGAGGGAUGCCCGAGUGGCCAAAGGGAGCAGACUGUAAAUCUGCCGGCAAAUGCCUACGGGGGUUCAAAUCCUCCUCCCUCCACCA